GACGAACGCUGGCGGCGUGCCUAAUACAUGCAAGUCGAACGCAGUUGGGAAGGGUGAGUUACACGUGGGUAAACUCGCAUCAAAUGGGAUAACACUUGGAAACAGGUGCUAAACUUCUACUGAUGGAUGGAUUCGCGGUGCAUUAGCUAGUUGGUGAGGUAACGGCUCACCAAGGAAACGAGGCAUAGCGGCACUGAGAGGGGGAUCGGCCACACUGGAACUGAGACACGGCCCAGAAGCCUACGAGAGGCAGGAGUAGGGAAUCUUCGGCAAUGGGCGAAAGCCUGACGGAGCAAUGCCGCGUGAGUGAAGAAGGUCUUCGGAUCGUAAAACGCGGUUGUUAGGGAAGCGGUAUCUAACCAGAAAGCCACGGCUAACUACGUGCCAGCAGCCGCGGUAAUUC
rnacentral:rRNA from 1 species